rnacentral:rRNA from 1 species
CCUACGGGAGGCAGCAGUGGGGAAUAUUGCACAAUGGGCGAAAGCCUGAUGCAGCGACGCCGCGUGAGGGAUGACGGCCUUCGGGUUGUAAACCUCUUUCAGCAGGGAAGAAGCGCAAGUGACGGUACCUGCAGAAGAAGCACCGGCUAACUACGUGCCAGCAGCCGCGGUAAUACGUAGGGUGCGAGCGUUGUCCGGAAUUAUUGGGCGUAAAGAGCUCGUAGGCGGUCUGUCGCGUCGGAUGUGAAAGCCCGGGGCUUAACCCCGGGUCUGCAUUCGAUACGGGCAGACUAGAGUGUGGUAGGGGUAGAUCGGAAUUCCUGGUGUAGCGGUGAAAUGCGCAGAUAUCAGGAGGAACACCGGUGGCGAAGGCGGAUCUCUGGGCCAUUACUGACGCUGAGGAGCGAAAGCGUGGGGAGCGAACAGGAUUAGAUACCCUGGUAGUCCACGCCGUAAACGUUGGGAACUAGGUAGUUGGCGACAUUCCACGUCGUCGGUGCCGCAGCUAACGCAUUAGUUCCCGCUGGGGAGUACGGCCGCAGGCUAAACGUCAAAGGAAUUGACGG